GACGAACGCUGGCGGCGUGCCUAAUACAUGCAAGUUGAGCGCUGAAGGUUGGUACUUGUACCAACUGGAUGAGCAGCGAACGGGUGAGUAACGCGUGGGGAAUCUGCCUUUGAGCGGGGGACAACAUUUGGAAACGAAUGCUAAUACCGCAUAAAAACUUUAAACACAAGUUUUAAGUUUGAAAGAUGCAAUUGCAUCACUCAAAGAUGAUCCCGCGUUGUAUUAGCUAGUUGGUGAGGUAAAGGCUCACCAAGGCGAUGAUACAUAGCCGACCUGAGAGGGUGAGCGGGCGAAUUGGGACUGAAACACGGCCCAAACUCCUACGGGAGGCAGCAGUAGGGGAUCUUCGGCGAUGGACGAAAGUCUGACCGAGCAACGGCGCGUGAGUGAAGAAGGUUGUCGGGUCGUAAAACUCUGUUGGUAGAGAAGAACGUUGGUGAGAGUGGAAAGCUCAUCAAGUGACGGUAACUACACAGAAAGGGACGGCUAACUACGUG
rnacentral:rRNA from 1 species